UACAGAGGUGGCAAGCGUUUGUUCGGAAUUACUGGGCGUAAAGGGCUCGUAGGCGGCCAACUAAGUCAGACGUGAAAUCCCUCGGCUUAACCGGGGAACUGCGUCUGAUACUGGAUGGCUUGAGUUUGGGAGAGGGAUGCGGAAUUCCAGGUGUAGCGGUGAAAUGCGUAGAUAUCUGGAGGAACACCGGUGGCGAAGGCGGCAUCCUGGACCGGCAUUGACGCUGAGGCACGAAAGCUGGGGGGAGCGAACAGG
rnacentral:rRNA from 1 species